CAAAGGCCUUUCGUCGCGACUGUUCCUACUGUUUCGUAUAUAAACAUCGUCUUCAGUCUUUAUCAAAAAAAAAAACAUCGUCUUCAGUCUUUAUCAAAAAAAAAAAACAUCGUCUUCAGUCUUCACUCGGAGGAUAACUAUCCUCGCUUGAUAGUCGAUGUCACAAGAUGCGUAAGAAGAGGAGAGUAUCACGGCACGGGUGCAACACAUGUUGAAUUACAGGGGCACUAAACACUGGUGGAGCAUCUGAAGCCACAUCAAAAGCCAUAAAUUUCAGAAUAAGGAAAAAUAAUGGAUUCACAUUGCAUGGCGAAGGAAAUACAGCAUGAUCAUGUCUGGUUCCGAUACGAGGCGUGCGUACAAGGAAGUUCAACAUGUUCCGGCCAGAAGGAGUCCGUGAUGUCUACAUGAAGGAAGCAAUGGUAUAUAGAGCAAAUCACAUAAGAUUUUCAUUAUCUGAAGUGAUUAGCAAAGUGGCCAGAAUAUUGUAUUAUUUCUUUUGGGUCUUGCAUGUGAUAAUUUGUUAUUAUACGUAUGGCUAGGAGGAAGGAUAUGGAAUGAUAAUUAUGGUAACUGAAUUAAGUUAGUCAUAUUCGGUUUAAGUCUAGAGUCUUACCUUGUACGAAA